CAGCCGCCACGGGAAAACGGAGGAUCCGAGCGUUAUCCGGAAUUAUUGGGUUUAAAGGGUGCGUAGGCGGAUAGAUAAGUCAGUGGUGAAAGACGGUGGCUCAACCAUCGCAGUGCCGUUGAUACUGUUUAUCUUGAAUAUGGAUGAGGUAGGCGGAAUGUGGCAAGUAGCGGUGAAAUGCAUAGAUAUGCCACAGAACACCGAUUGCGAAGGCAGCUUACCAAGGCAAAAUUGACGCUGAGGCACGAAAGCGUGGGGAUCGAACAGGAUUAGAUACCCCAGUAGUCCCUGUCUCUUAUAC
rnacentral:rRNA from 1 species